GGGUUCGAUUCCGGAGAGGGAGCCUGAGAAACGGCUACCACNUCNNNNNNNGGCAGCAGGCGCGCAAAUUACCCAAUCCCGACACGGGGAGGUAGUGACAAUAAAUAACAAUACGGGGCUCUUUCGGGUCUCGUAAUUGGAAUGAGUACAAUUUAAAUCCCUUAACGAGGAACAAUUGGAGGGCAAGUCUGGUGCCAGCAGCCGCGGUAAUUCCAGCUCCAAUAGCGUAUAUUAAAGUUGUUGCAGUUAAAAAGCUCGUAGUUGAAUUUCGGGAUUGACACAUCGGUCGUGCCUUAAGGGGUAUGAACUGGUGUAGUCAAUUUCUCACCUUCUGGAGAACCGCGAUGCCCUUAAUUGGGUGUCACGGGGAACCAGGACCUUUACUUUGAAAAAAUUAGAGUGUUUAAAGCAGGCAUUUUGCUUGAAUACAUUAGCAUGGAAUAAUAAAAUAGGACGGCAUGAUUCUAUUUUGUUGGUUUCUAGGAUCACCGUAAUGAUUAAUAGGGAUAGUUGGGGGCAUUAGUAUUCAAUUGUCAGAGGUGAAAUUCUUGGAUUUAUUGAAGACUAACUACUGCGAAAGCAUUUGCCAAGGAUGUUUUCNUUAAUCAAGAACGAAAGUUAGGGGAUCGAA
rnacentral:rRNA from 1 species